CUGCUGGAGAAGUAUGAGGCGCGCUCCCGAGCCAGAGUCUGUCAGCAAGCGAAAGUUGAAAAAACUACAAAAAACCUUAUUUACCACAAAGCCCUCCUUUUACGGUGUUGUGAAAGUACCAUGGUAUUAUAAGAGUGGUAUUUAUACGGCAUUUCGUCUUCUGCGAGUAUCUUGAAUAUGUUAUUAGCUCCUCAUAGGGAUUAAUUUCCUUCAUUUUUCUUUUGUAUAAAAGCGUCUAAAAUCUAUUCAUCUCGAGCUGAUUUCAGAGUUCGGCUCAAUUCGCGCAGGUUCCCGCGAGAUCAGAGGCGAGCGAGUGUUUUGGGUGAGAUUUGAGUGGCGCAGCGGAAUGAGCGCUGAUGCAGUAACGCAGCCGCUGCGCUUUGAGUCGCACCUCUGAGCCGCCUUAAGCGCUUUCUCUCACUCUGACAGUUUUUACCAGGCACUUUACAGUCUGCGUCAGUGCACACUUACUGGAGGAGACGUCUUCUUCAUCUUCUUCAUCUUCUUCAUCAUCAGCUGGAGCGGGAGCGCGCGCAGAAUGAGGCGGCUGCUCGUGCUCGUGUCGCUGUGUGUAUCGGCGCAGACACUGGACGCAGACGCAGGCGCAGGCGCAGACGCAGACAGAGCCGCGGAGCAGCCGAGAGCGAGCCGAGCGAAGCGGCGCGGCGGCGGGCAGGACGUGCUGAAGGGGUAACGCAUCUCUGCUCCACUGAAGAAGCGCCACACUCACUCGAAACAUUAAUGAGAGCUUGUGCAGUUUGAUGAUUGUUUGUUUGGCAGCAUCUCGAAUCUUCGUGUGCGAUGAUCCUAACAAAACAGUAAACAUUCAAUUACAGAAAUAAAAAAAAAUUAAAAAUCAUGCACAAAAGUCGUGGAACCUGCCGUUUUUAUCACACAAUUCACAUUUUUUUUUUUCACUCAGUUAUGAGAAAAUUGAUAUAAACUCAGAAUUCUGAUGUUGUUUCUCAUAAUUCAGAGUUUAAAUCUUGCAAUUCUUUUUUUUUUCUGCCACAGAAUAAACAAUAAAAAAGAUAAUCAUGACUUUUUUCUCACUAUAAUUAGGUUAUAAAUCAUAUUUUAGACUUUUUUUCUCAUAAAGUUUAAAUCUUGCAAUUCCUUUUUGUUUAUGCAGCAGAAUAAACAAUAAAAAAGAUAAUUGUGACUUUUUAUCUCACAAGUCUGACUUUUUCUCACAUUGAGGUUAUAUCAUCAUUUAGACUUUUUUCUCACAGUUCAGUUCAGAAAUGUGACAAAAAUGUUUUUAUCAUUUUUUUUAUUCUUUUGUUACGUGACAGAAACAAGCUUCUGUACAAAACCAAACCCAAAAAAUACAGAAAAGAGCAUAAGCAAUAAACAGUAACAGUAAGGUUCCAUUAGUACAUGUUAGAAACAAUGAAUAAUACAUGUAUUACAGUAUUUAUUAAUCUUUGUUAAUGUUACUUAAUGAAAAUACAGUCGUUCGUUGUUAAUUAACAGUGCAUUAACUAAUGUUAACAAGCACAACGUUAGCAGUGAAGUUAAUGAAGUUAACAUUAACUAAGAUUAAUACAUGCUGUAGAAGUAUUGUUCAUGUUCAGUUCAUGUUAACAUAAGUACAGUAGUUAACUAAUGGUAACCUUACUGUAAAGUGUUACCCAAUAAACAAUGAAAAAAUAAACAGGGAAUGCAAGAAAAUUAAAGUAGGAAUUAUAUUUUCUCUUUCUGUUCCUAAGUUAUUUUAUGCAUUUUUUUUCUUUGUAUUUACUCCUACACUGAGAAAACUAAUAACUAGAGAAGCUUUGAUGGUGGCUUGAGAAAGUCUACUUAAAAUCUAGUUUAACAAGCUGUAAGUUUGAAGAAUGUAAGAAUGUAAUCUAUAAGAUAGAUAUGAAUGAUUUUAUAGAUAGAUAAUGACGGGUAACACAUUGGAUUAAAUGUGAAAUUCUGGAGUAGCUUUAGAAAGACUGAAAUGGUAUUUUCUUGUACCACAUACUCUAGUAUUUACAGCUUCAAAAAAAUCCCAUGCUCAUUUUAUUCUAUGUGUGGAGAGGUUCACAGGUAACAUUUACAUUGAAUUCGACGGCUUGCUCGGUUAAGUGUUGCUGAACUCUUCCCGCAGACCGAAUGUGUGUGGAUCCCGUCAUCACGCGUACUGCUGUCCCGGAUGGAAGACCUUGACCGGAGGAAACCAGUGCAUCGUCCGUAAGUCCUCAUCAGCUUCCUGAUGUCGUUUACAUGUGAAGGUCAGGCGCGCUAAUGGAUCUCUGACCUCCUGACCUCUCACUGACCGCACCUAACAAGAACAUUCCGGGUUUGGACGCAUUCCAGUUAUAUGUGUAAUCACAUUAAUCCGAUUAAGCCGAUAUUUCCUGAAUAAGACAGCUGGCAUAUGCCUCGAUGAACUGGAAGUCUGUCUCAUGGAAAGACCUGGAGCUGAAUCUGCAGACUUUGAUUUUGUGGAAUGGAUUUAAACAUGUUAGUGUAUAUAUAACAAAAAACAACAAGGGAAGGGAUGUGUAGAACAUCUGUGACACCUGUGAAGGUCAGUC
rnacentral:lncRNA from 12 species